CGUCUGGAAAGGCGCGCGAUACAGGGUGACAGCCCCGUACACAAAAGCGCAUGUGCUGUGAGCUCGAUGAGUAGGGCGGGACACGUGGUAUCCUGUCUGAAUAUGGGGGGACCAUCCUCCAAGGCUAAAUACUCCUGACUGACCGAUAGUGAACCAGUACCGUGAGGGAAAGGCGAAAAGAACCCCGGCGAGGGGAGUGAAAAAGAACCUGAAACCGUGUACGUACAAGCAGUGGGAGCACAGGUUUACCUGUGUGACUGCGUACCUUUUGUAUAAUGGGUCAGCGACUUAUAUUCUGUAGCAAGGUUAACCGUAUAGGGGAGCCGGAGGGAAACCGAGUCUUAACCGGGCGUUAAGUUGCAGGGUAUAGACCCGAAACCCGGUGAUCUAGCCAUGGGCAGGUUGAAGGUUGGGUAACACUAACUGGAGGACCGAACCGACUAAUGUUGAAAAAUUAGCGGAUGACCUGUGGCUGGGGGUGAAAGGCCAAUCAAACCGGGAGAUAGCUGGUUCUCCCCGAAAGCUAUUUAGGUAGCGCCUCGUGAAUUCAUCUCCGGGGGUAGAGCACUGUUUCGGCUAGGGGGCCAUCCCGGCUUACCAACCCGAUGCAAACUGCGAAUACCGGAGAAUGUUAUCACGGGAGACACACGGCGGGUGCUAACGUCCGUCGUGAAGAGGGAAACAACCCAGACCGCCAGCUAAGGUCCCAAAGUCAUGGUUAAGUGGGAAACGAUGUGGGAAGGCCCAGACAGCCAGGAUGUUGGCUUAGAAGCAGCCAUCAUUUAAAGAAAGCGUAAUAGCUCACUGGUCGAGUCGGCCUGCGCGGAAGAUGUAACGGGGCUAAACCAUGCACCGAAGCUGCGGCAGCGACACUGUGUGUUGUUGGGUAGGGGAGCGUUCUGUAAGCCUGUGAAGGUGUGUCGUGAGGCAUGCUGGAGGUAUCAGAAGUGCGAAUGCUGACAUAAGUAACGAUAAAGCGGGUGAAAAGCCCGCUCGCCGGAAGACCAAGGGUUCCUGUCCAACGUUAAUCGGGGCAGGGUGAGUCGACCCCUAAGGCGAGGCCGAAAGGCGUAGUCGAUGGGAAACGGGUUAAUAUUCCCGUACUUGGUGUUACUGCGAAGGGGGGACGGAGAAGGCUAUGUUGGCCGGGCGACGGUUGUCCCGGUUUAAGCGUGUAGGUGUGUGUUCCAGGUAAAUCCGGUUCACUUUAACACUGAGGCGUGACGACGAGGCACUACGGUGCUGAAGCAACAAAUGCCCUGCUUCCAGGAAAAGCCUCUAAGCAUCAGGUAACAUCAAAUCGUACCCCAAACCGACACAGGUGGUCAGGUAGAGAAUACCAAGGCGCUUGAGAGAACUCGGGUGAAGGAACUAGGCAAAAUGGUGCCGUAACUUCGGGAGAAGGCACGCUGACACGUAGGUGAAGUGAUUUACUCAUGGAGCUGAAGUCAGUCGAAGAUACCAGCUGGCUGCAACUGUUUAUUAAAAACACAGCACUGUGCAAACACGAAAGUGGACGUAUACGGUGUGACGCCUGCCCGGUGCCGGAAGGUUAAUUGAUGGGGUCAGCGCAAGCGAAGCUCCUGAUCGAAGCCCCGGUAAACGGCGGCCGUAACUAUAACGGUCCUAAGGUAGCGAAAUUCCUUGUCGGGUAAGUUCCGACCUGCACGAAUGGCGUAAUGAUGGCCAGGCUGUCUCCACCCGAGACUCAGUGAAAUUGAACUCGCUGUGAAGAUGCAGUGUACCCGCGGCAAGACGGAAAGACCCCGUGAACCUUUACUAUAGCUUGACACUGAACAUUGAGCCUUGAUGUGUAGGAUAGGUGGGAGGCUUUGAAGCGUGGACGCCAGUCUGCGUGGAGCCGACCUUGAAAUACCACCCUUUAAUGUUUGAUGUUCUAACGUGGACCCGUAAUCCGGGUUGCGGACAGUGUCUGGUGGGUAGUUUGACUGGGGCGGUCUCCUCCUAAAGAGUAACGGAGGAGCACGAAGGUUGGCUAAUCCUGGUCGGACAUCAGGAGGUUAGUGCAAUGGCAUAAGCCAGCUUGACUGCGAGCGUGACGGCGCGAGCAGGUGCGAAAGCAGGUCAUAGUGAUCCGGUGGUUCUGAAUGGAAGGGCCAUCGCUCAACGGAUAAAAGGUACUCCGGGGAUAACAGGCUGAUACCGCCCAAGAGUUCAUAUCGACGGCGGUGUUUGGCACCUCGAUGUCGGCUCAUCACAUCCUGGGGCUGAAGUAGGUCCCAAGGGUAUGGCUGUUCGCCAUUUAAAGUGGUACGCGAGCUGGGUUUAGAACGUCGUGAGACAGUUCGGUCCCUAUCUGCCGUGGGCGCUGGAGAACUGAGGGGGGCUGCUCCUAGUACGAGAGGACCGGAGUGGACGCAUCACUGGUGUUCGGGUUGUCAUGCCAAUGGCACUGCCCGGUAGCUAAAUGCGGAAGAGAUAAGUGCUGAAAGCAUCUAAGCACGAAACUUGCCCCGAGAUGAGUUCUCCC
rnacentral:rRNA from 1 species